rnacentral:lncRNA from 1 species
CACCCGGGGGUCGGUUCUUAAGCAGCGGCCGGUCGCAUCGGGGAAGAGAGGGACGGUGGGAGUGCGGUGGCGAGUCUCUGAGCCCGCCGCGGCCCCGAGAGCGGCUUGAGCCGCUGCCGGGAAGGAGGGGGCGAGGCGCGCCCGGGCCGCUGGAGCCGCCGGAGCCGCCAGAGCCGCGGGAGCCGCGGACGAGGAGUGCAGCCGCUGCCGGCGAGGGCCGGGGCGGGGGGCGCGGGCCACAGGCCCCUGCUCCGGCCGCCACUUGCAAACAGUGGGCGCCCGAUGCCGCCCGCGCCCCGCUAGGCUGAGCCUCACGCCGGGCGAGCAGCCACCGCCGCCGCCGCCGCCGCCGGAGCCGCGGGCAGGAGCCUCGGGAGCCGCCGCCGCCGCCGCCCGGCCGAGCCCCGCCGCCGCCCGCGCGCCCCCGGGCCCCCGACACACAUGAGAUUCUUCAGGCUCACUUUCAAGUGCUUCGUGGACUGCUUCUGACUGCGCCGCCCCCGCCGUCCCGCACCCCGCCCGCCCGCCCGCCCGCC